rnacentral:lncRNA from 1 species
CCACGCUUCAUGAUCAGGUACAUUGCACAGGCCGGAAGAAAAGAAUGAGAAGCAGAACCAAAAUCUUACUUUGCCACCAAUGCAGCUGAUGAGGAGUGACAGAAAGGAAUACCUAGGAACUAUGCUGUGAGUGCCAUCCGUCUGGCCUUCAUUGCCAUGCUUCUCAUCGGGCUGCCAACUGGGUACGUUGCAGCUUGUUCCACAGUCUUCACAGCCAUCACCCUGCAAUUGCCAAUUCCUGACAUCGUCGACAGUGUACCUUUCUUGGAUGCACCCUCACCUGGCAAGCUCGUUCACUGAAGUUGAACCACAUUUGCAGAGACUCAAGUAAACUACAGCAACUUCAAUAUGCCACUCAAUUUGCACCUGUGAACUUCAGUGGGCAUGUGAGCUGUGGUAGCAGUAUGGCUGUUAGUUGUACCUCUGAUUGUGAUGCAGGUUGGUGCACAUUUAUCAUUAUACACUAAAGGAUUGAAUUCCCUGUGCCUGCUGCUGUUCCGUGCCCACAGGUGCGAGUGAGAGAUUAUGUAAAUGCUUCUUUGACAUUUAUGCUAUUAUGUUCCUAUAACACUCGUCAUAACACUCAUUCUGAAUCCCUUCUAGAAAUUGACUCCCUCUGUAACGACUCGCAAACCAACGAGGGUUUUGUGUCACUUUUCCAAGGUUAUGCAUAACCAUUCACUUCAAAGUAUGAAGUCCAAGCCGAAUUCACUGCAGAUCUAAGAAGCUUAGAUGCUAAAAUUAGUGGCACAAACAAGACUAGAAGUGUUUGAACAAAAAACACUAGACAAUUACGAGGAGUAGCUCACAACAAUCUAAAGAUAACUUGAAGAGCUCACCUCUAGGUAUGAAU